AGGACCCUCAUGGAGCAGGGGCUCUGUGGCCAGGAAGCCCUCUGGGGGACAGAGAACACUCUCAGGCCUCUGGCCAGCACUGACACUCCUCUGCUCGCCCACAGUUUCCGCUCAGUCUAGACCGCAGCAUGCCCGGGGCCAAGCAAGAGAGCGUGUUACAGGCCACGACCAGCUGGUGAUGGGCUGCGACCCUGGGACUGUGGAAUGCGCUGGAAUAUAGAUUGGCCGUGAUCAUUGACAUUUUGCAGGAGACACACAUUUUUACCAACGGUUGUACCAGCGCUAAGCAGACAAGCCACGGGAGAUCCUGGCCUCUUGCUUCUCAGUCUGGUGCGUCCCCCUCUGAACCUUGACAUUCAAGACUGUAGCAGUGUCUUUUGGUGGUUGAAUUGGAAAAUACGCAUUUCUGGAGAAACUUUGUGGUUAUUAGACCAAGGCAACCACCAAGUAUACCUCUCCUACAUUUUCAUGUUCAGUUCAAGACCUUGAUCUUGAAUCCUCAUGAGCUUCAGCUAGUCUAUGACUGCAUUGCCAUAGACAUUCUUCUGAUGCCCACCAAACUCUGUGCUUGGAAGCUUCCAGAGGAGAAUGGACAAGUUUCCUUGGUUCCUUGUAGCUUCCCGAGGAAGGUGCUCCUGUGGCCAGAAGGGAGGAGGAAAGUGAAAAUAAUCCCCAAAGGAGCAGGGAGAGAAAGAAGGGCAUUCUUGGGACUCCAGAGAUGGCACAGGGCUCCCUGUGGGUGGCACUCAGUGCAGGCUAUCAGAUGACAUGUCACACAUUAGGAUUGGCUUCCUAUGUGCGUGUGGCCAUUCUGUGUAAGCUGAGGGCACUUGUCACAGGGUAUACAGGUGUGUGUGCGUGUGUGUAUUUAGAGUCUGAAUUCCAUGUGGAUCAGGGAAGGAGGGGUCCCUGAAAGCUUGCUAAGUGCCCACUCUGUGCCCAGCCCUGAGCUGGGACCAGCAGGGCUGCACAGGAAGGAAGGUCACAGCCUGAGGAGACGUUUCUAAGACUGAGAGCCUUUCAGAGACUCUAGGUCACUGUGCUAGCUUAGGGGUCUGGGCCUUGAGCUGCAGGCUCACGGAAGGGGAGCUCCCUGGGGUGGCCUCAUCAGGGCUGGAGAAGGAUGCUGGCCCUGAUUCCUCCCCACUGGGUGCUCGCCUGGACCUGCAAGGAGUUUCUGAGCCCAGCUGGCCUUGUGCUUUUGGGGGUGUGAUGGGAGGGGUGGCUCAGGUCUGGGGCGCUGUGGGCGAGUAGGGGUCUCACCCCUGGAAGUAUCUGUGGCAUCUGUGGCACAGCUGGGAUGGGUAGAAGGGUGCAUGGUUCUGGUGAGGGGGAGCGGGUCUCAGCCGGUCCCCGUCCCCGGUGGCUGUGCUCCCUCUGUGCCCUUCAUUUUCUGACCAGCCCUAGGAGCAGAACCUAAAGAAACCGAACAAGGAAGCAGCAGGCGCAAAGAAAAGCAGAAGUGGAAACCUUAGAGACUUGACCCUCCUCCUUGAAGGGGCCUGAAGCCGCCUGGCACUGCCGUGGGUGACGUCUGUGCGGAGAAGAUGAGGUGGCCGGACCAGGCCGUGUGGCUGCUGUUGGCUCUGCUGCUUCUCUGGGUCCCAGGCUGUUCCUCUAUAAGUGGCCCCACCUCCGUGACGGGCACUGUGGGGGGAUCCCUGAUCGUGCAGUGUUCAUAUGAAGAGCAAUUAAGAACACAUUUCAAAUACUGGUGCAAAAGGCCAUGUUUGUGGAAAACUGUGGAGACCAAACGGUCAAGCAAAGAAGUGAGGAACGGCCGCGUAUCCAUCAGGGACCAUCCUGCAAACCUCACCUUCACAGUGACCUUGGAGAACCUUAUAGAGGAUGAUGCAGGAACAUACCGAUGUGGGAUCGAUACGUCCUGGUUAGGAGGAUAUUUGCAAGACCCCGCCGUCCACAUUGUGGUGUCUGUGAUCCCAGCAACAACGUCCGCCCCACCCGCAAACAUCACUGUAACCCAGAUCUCAACAAUCACAGCUGGAAUCACGACCACGUCAUCCUCAUCCUCACCCACUGUCCCCAUCACCAUGGGAGCCACCCACAGUGCAAGCAGCCAAGAGGAGUUCCAGCAAAGCCAGGGCGUGGGGCUCCAAGUACUCCUUUCCUUGUUGGCGCUUCUGCUGCUUCUGCUGGGGGGAAGCUUGCUCCUGGCCUGGAGGAUAGUUCGCAAAGCGGGUCAAAGAAUACUCUGCAAGGUGAGCUCUAUUAUGCGAAUCUGGAGCUGCAGACAAGGACGCUUCAGGGAGAGCCCACACAGCCGAGACAGGAAGAGGUAGAAUACAGCACUGUGCCCAACAAGUCGGCUGUUUGGGUGAACCCCUUAGUGCAGCUGGCCUUGGAGCUAGACAGAGGGAUUGGACAACUGUGUGUCUCCACUUUGUGGCUGUGUCUGGAAUCACACAUCUUGGAUUCCAAGCGGGGCGUGUUUGCUCCAGCUGGUAGGCUGAUGUGGAGGGAAUUCUGUGUUUUCCAGGUCAGUGCAGCUGAGCAGGGGAAGGGCCUGAAACAGGGUAAGGACAGGAAGACUCCUGCUUGCUUUGCAGUUCCCCUAACCAUCCACCCCGUGGAUGUCAUUGUGCUGAAAAUUCCAUUCCUCCCCAAACUUGAGCUCCCUUAUUUAGCACCCAAUUGCCUCUUCUCAAUUCCUGAAUUCUUCCCACCCUGACCUCAGCAUGUCAGAGGGAAGGGCAGUCGCCCCACCUGUAGCCAGUGUGGCAGAUUUGGGGUCAGACAGAACAGGUGUUAAAUCUCACAUCCGCCCUUACCAGCUCCACAUUCUGGGGUUGGCAUUCAAGGCCACCCCAGUCUGUUGGCUCAACCAUAACCAAGGAUGGCCUAGUUGUCCUCUGGUGCUUUUCCCCCUCGCCAGGCUGGUCAGAAGAAAGCUCUUUAUAAAGGCUCUCGCCACUCCCCCACCACACUGCCACCCCAAUCCUCUGUGCUGUUUUUUUGCCUCUGAGACUCUUUCCAGACACCCCCUCCUGGAUUUUCACUGCUGAGACUUCUUUGUUGCCAUUCCUUUGAUUUAUGGCUUGCUAGUCCUCAGCAACUUUCAACUUGACUCUUUGGACUCCCCUUUGCCUUACAUGCAAAUCUGAGCCACCUGGGGCAAAUGAACCACAACACAUCCUAACACCCAGGCCAAAGGCAAAUCCUGGGCUCCAUGUGUCUGGGAAGGAAAGCGGAAAAGGGCUGACAGUGUCUACUUUCAGCAUUGUUGACAGAGUCCAUGAUGCACCAAGCAGAGGCCUUGAACCAAAACCUGCUCUCCAGGGGUGGAGGGCAUCCUGUAUUUCACACCAGAGAGAAAGCAGUGAAGAAGAUACAUGCUGUCCCUUCCUUCUCUACCUUUCCCUAGUAGGGGGACAGAUAAUAAAAAUCACAGCCCGGUCAAUCAUUGGAGAGGCCUGGCCAGGUGUCUGGAAACAGGUAUCCUGUCCUCGCUCAGACUCAUGAGAAGUCUGGCUGGAAGGGAUGGAGGGGGCCAGACGUCACCCAUUCCACAGAUGUGAAAACUGAGGUCUGGGGAAGUGAAGGGGCGCACCCUAGUCUACACUGUACGGAGCCUGGAUUCAGGACCAGGCUCCAAAUAGGCCUGAGUCACCUUCUUCAAGCUGACUUCCUUCACCAGCCAAGUGGGUUUGAGACUAGCCUUACCCACCAGCUACAGCUGCGGGAGGGACAGUGGGAUGGGCAUUGAUUGAGGCGUGCCAGCUGUCAACGCGGUGCGUGUGCUCACAUUACCCAAUGUUAGUGGCGACCUGUGAUGUCACUUCCCCUCCCUCCCCUGACCACCUGUCGUCCAUGGAUUCUUUCUGAAUCCUUCUUGUAGGCACUUCUCCUUCCUUGUGAAUUUCAGGCAUAGCACGGCCAUUUAACAUGCAGGGGGGACACAGCGGUGGGAGGAAAGGAGAAUGUGUGUGAGUAGCAUGAGGGCUUGGAGUCCUUAACAGUCUUUUCCAGAAACAUCACUCUGGUGAAUUUGCCCGAGUCUGGUCCUCAGGCUUGCAAAUCUAGAACCCAGACUCCAUCCAGGCAAGUGGAAAGGCUCAGCUUUAUGAUACUCAACCCAAGGGACUUAUCUGGGGAAUAUUCCUUCCCAGGGAUCUGAAUGCCUUCAUGCCCUCCCCCAUUUUUCUGAUGUCAGCUCACUGGCAGGUUGCCUGAGUGGGCAGAAGGUAGCUCGGGAACGUGGGUGAGAGCAGGUGUCCCUGCACUGGGGGCUCCCCUUCCACAGCCAGGCUGGCUUCCAAUGGCCCCCUUGGUCUCUCCCUUCCUCUGGGUCCCAUCACCAGAUAACCUACUAUUGGCUUCCCAUUUUUGUCUAGAUUAGAGUCUCUCAAACUUGGCACUGUUCAAUGUUGUUGAGUGAUUGCUUUUGAAGAUCCAGUUCACAUUCUAUAAAUUCACCCUUUGAAAGUAUACAAAUCAGUGGUUCUCAGCAUAUGUACAAAGUUGUACAACCACUACCACUAUCUAAUUUCAGAACAUUUUUUUAUUCCCAAACAAAC